AUAGCAGGUUGACUAAUCUAAAAGUGGUUUCCAGUUCCUUUACUGACUAAAAGUAUCAAAAGUUUAGAAAGAUAAAACAGAUGCUAAGGAAGUCCUUAAAUCCCCACAGCAGCUCUUUCCUCUCUCGCUCCCGGCCAUCUUGGCGGCUGCUCUCGGUGGGCGCCAUGUUGAACCUAAGGCAGGAAGAUGGUGGUGGCCACAAAGACGACGAAAAAGUCGCUGGAGUGGAUCAACUCUAGGCUCCAGCAUGUCACCAACAGUGGAAAGUACAUGCUGGGAUACAAGCAGACUCUGAAAAUGAUCAGACACGGCAAAGUGAAACUGGUCAUCCUUGCGAACAACAGCACAGCCUUUAGGACAUCUGAAAUAGAAUACUCUGCCAUGCUGGCCAAAACUGAUGGUCAUCACUACAGUGGCAAUAAUACUGAAUUGGGCAUGUGGGAAAUACUACUGAGUAGGCACACCAGCUAUCAUUGAUCCAGGUAACUCUGUUAUCAUGAGAAGCAUGCCAGAACAGACUGGUGAGAAGUAA